rnacentral:rRNA from 1 species
AACGUAGGAGACAAACGUUAUCCGGAGUUACUGGGCGUAAAGGGCGUGUAGGUGGUAGAGUAAGUCUGGCGUGAAAUUUUUCGGCUUAACCGGGAAAGGUCGUCGGAUACUGCUUAACUAGAGGACGGUAGAGGCGUGUGGAAUUCCGAGUGUAGAGGUGAAAUUCGUAGAUAUUCGGAAGAACACCAGUGGCGAAGGCGACUCACUGGACACGUAUUGACGCUGAGGUGCGAAAGCGUGGGGAGCAAACAGG